rnacentral:rRNA from 1 species
GAAAGGGCGCACGGUGAAUGCCUUGGCACUAGGAGCCGAAGAAGGACGUGACGAACGACGAAACGCCUCGGGGAGCUGUAAGUAAGCUUUGAUCCGAGGAUAUCCGAAUGGGGGAACCCAUCAUCCGUAAUGGGAUGGUACCCGUAUCUGAAUACAUAGGAUACGAGGAGGCAGACCUGGGGAACUGAAACAUCUAAGUACCCAGAGGAAGAGAAAGCAAAUGCGAUUUCCUGAGUAGCGGCGAGCGAAACGGAAACAGCCCAAACCAAGAGGCUUGCCUCUUGGGGUUGUAGGACACUCUAUACGGAGUUACAAAGAAACGGAGUAGAUGAAGCGGUCUGGAAAGGCCCAUCAUAGAAGGUAACAAUCCUGUAAUCGAAACUUCGUUUCCUCUUGAGUGUAUCCUGAGUACGGCGGGACACGUGAAACCCCGUCGGAAUCCGGGAGGACCAUCUCCCAAGGCUAAAUACUCCCUAGUGACCGAUAGUGAACCAGUACCGUGAGGGAAAGGUGAAAAGCACCCCGGAAGGGGAGUGAAAGAGAUCCUGAAACCGUGUGCCUACAACUAGUUGGAGCCCGUUUAUGGGUGACAGCGUGCCUUUUGUAGAAUGAACCGGCGAGUUACGAUCCCGUGCAAGGUUAAGCUGAUAAGGCGGAGCCGUAGCGAAAGCGAGUCUGAAUAGGGCGCCAUAGUACGUGGUCGUAGACCCGAAACCGUGUGAUCUACCCAUGUCCAGGGUGAAGUUCAGGUAACACUGAAUGGAGGCCCGAACCCACGCACGUUGAAAAGUGCGGGGAUGAGGUGUGGGUAGGGGUGAAAUGCCAAUCGAACUCGGAAAUAGCUGGUUCUCCCCGAAAUAGCUUUAGGGCUAGCCUCGAGGUGAGAGUAUUGGAGGUAGAGCACUGAUUGGACUAGGGGUCCCCACAGGAUUACCGAAUUCAGUCAAACUCCGAAUGCCAAAUACUUAUCCUCGGGAGUCAGACUGCGAGUGCUAAGAUCCGUAGUCAAGAGGGAAACAGCCCAGACCAUCAGCUAAGGUCCCAAAGUAUACGUUAAGUGGAAAAGGAUGUGGAGUUGCCCAGACAACCAGGAUGUUGGCUUAGAAGCAGCCACCAUUUAAAGAGUGCGUAAUAGCUCACUGGUCGAGUGACUCUGCGCCGAAAAUGUACCGNNNNNNNNNNAUGGAGGCGUCGGUGGGAUACUACCCUGACUGUGCUGACAUUCUAACCUCGAACCGUGAUCCGGUUCAGGGACAGUGUCAGGUGGGCAGUUUGACUGGGGCGGUCGCCUCCUAAACAGUAACGGAGGCGCCCAAAGGUUCCCUCAGAAUGGUUGGAAAUCAUUCGUAGAGUGCAAAGGCAAAAGGGAGCUUGACUGCGAGACCUACAAGUCGAGCAGGGACGAAAGUCGGGCUUAGUGAUCCGGUGGUUCCGCAUGGAAGGGCCAUCGCUCAACGGAUAAAAGCUACCCUGGGGAUAACAGGCUUAUCUCCCCCAAGAGUCCACAUCGACGGGGAGGUUUGGCACCUCGAUGUCGGCUCAUCGCAUCCUGGGGCUGAAGUAGGUCCCAAGGGUUGGGCUGUUCGCCCAUUAAAGCGGUACGCGAGCUGGGUUCAGAACGUCGUGAGACAGUUCGGUCCCUAUCCGUCGCGGGCGUAGGAAAUUUGAGAGGAGCUGUCCUUAGUACGAGAGGACCGGGAUGGACACACCGCUGGUGUACCAGUUGUUCCGCCAGGAGCAUCGCUGGGUAGCUACGUGUGGACGGGAUAAGUGCUGAAAGCAUCUAAGCAUGAAGCCCCCCUCAAGAUGAGAUUUCCCAUGGAGUUAAUCCAGUAAGACCCCUCAGAGAUGAUGAGGUUGAUAGGUCUGGUGUGGAAGCGUGGCGACACGUGGAGCUGACAGAUACUAAUCGGUCGAGGACUUAUCC